rnacentral:ncRNA from 3 species
CGGGGAAAGAAGACCCUGU